GGGGGCAGCCCUAAGAUGGCGCCCCCCGGCGGCGCGGCGCGGGGCUGGGCCUCGGGGCCCUGCGGCCCGGGGAGGGGCCGGGCGGUGCCGCUGGGCCCUGGUAACGCCCGGCCGGGCCGCGCCGCCCCCUUCCCUUCACUUCCCUGAGCCCAGCCUGGCCGCGCCGCGCUGUCCUCAGGCUGUCCCGGUGAGCCGGGCGCUGCCCUCAGGCUGAGCGCUCCCCCCCGGCCUCGCCGCCGCCAUCUUGGCGCGUGCAGGGGGAGGCGGCGGUGCCUGAGGCGCUGCCGGCAGCCCCCGGAGCUCAGCAGCAGCCUCUCGCCCUCACGGCCCUGACGGGCUUUGUUUUCAUCACAUUUUUAUAGCCUCCCUGUGUUGAACAAGCAUCAGAACGGAUGUUUUACUUGGUGUGCUGAUAACAUUCCCUGAUAAAUGACGCCCCGUGCCCAGGACACACCCAGGCAGGCUCGGUGCAGUUAGUCACACUUCCUCACCCUCCUGCCCCUUCGGCCUGCCCUGCCGCCACGCAGAGCUCCCCACGGAAGGAGUUUGUGCUGCUCCUUGCUGAGAAGGGGGUGAGGCAGGUCUUUUGCACCUGCCACCCUCGUAGGAGAAAUUUGACUCAUUUUCUGAUGAAUACGGAAGCUGCAGCCCCUGUUAAGAUAGUAAUUGGAGAGUUUGAAGUCUUUUCCCCAGCCAAAAGUGGACCACAGCGUACAAAAUACUGACAGCAAACGGUUGCCAGCCCGGGUGCUGUAGGAGAUGGAGCACCUCCAGGCUGCCUGCUGUCCCGUGGCUGUAGCUGCCCUGACAGUGUCACCUCUAUCAGCUGAAACAAAAGCUUCACUGAAGGUGAGGCUGGUGAGGAAAUGCUGGUGGAGGGACAAGCUUCUUUGAACAAAGGCCUCCAGACACAAGUGAAACCCAGGAGUGGUAAAGCAGUAACCUGUUCCAUGGAAUUCCUUCCCAGCCUGUGUGCUACUUUUGGAUCUUGACUUCUACCUCAGUUUUCAGCUUCAAAUAUCCAGGCUCGACGGCCAUGACUUGCCUGGGGAGCCCGUGCCAGUGCCCAGCCACCAGUGAAGAACCUUUUCCUAACACCCGGUCUGAACCUCCCGGACACAUCUCCAUGCCAUUAAUGAGGAAUGGCCCUUUACAGAUGGCCUUUUACUGAUUGUCCAGCAACCUGAAAGCACAAGAAUGAAGCAAAUACUGCAUCGUGAAGUCACUGGCCAUCAGAGACUUAAGAUCCCUUUCCCUUCUCAAAAUGUUUUAUAAAGUAGCUAGGUAUGCGUGAACUAUCUACACCCGAAACUACACAGGGUAAUGCAGAAGAAAUCUUUGUCAGCAGUCAGCUAUGCACAGUUGACACGCUGACAGACCCAGGCCUGGAAUAAAUAGAUUUUGAUCCAAGAGCCACAGGAAAAUCUCAGCUCUUUGUUCCUGCACUAUUCUGUGUGGGUGGAGAGAGAAAAAAUCAAGCAUUUGCCUCAGAGCAGCACUCUGUUCUCAAGAGACACGUGGAGCCAAGUGAAAGAAGUGGCAAGAGGAAUUUAUCUGGUAGUUAAAGACUUGUCUUCAUCCAGGAGUCAAAAUGAACAAAAGGUCACGUUGUAUUUUUCACAGGAGGAGACUCUCAAUUGUUUUCACCAAGAUGCAGAAUAAACAUUUACAAUUAAAAAUUGAUAGAAA